rnacentral:lncRNA from 1 species
AGAACCUUUCCAAAACUUGAGUCAAAGUCAGCCAAAACAGUCAACUCAGCCCAAAAUAUGAAAAUCAGCUAAGUCUGAAUUUUAGGUGUUCCACCAAACUUUGAAGCCUUGUAUCUUCAAAUCUAGCUAGAUUUCGAACCCAAGCCUUUUGUAGAAGUUGAAGCUGGACCUUAGGACAACAAUUCAUAGUUUGGGAAAAUUUCGACCCUAUUUGGCCCUUCACCUGAACCGCGUCGCCCCCUUCGCCCAAAGCGCCGCCGCGGCGUGUCCCUCCCUCACCGGCAAGCUUCGCCGCACCCUAUCACCGAUGCGAUGGGAUGAGGCAAUGCUUGAACCUGCCAGUAGAAGAG